rnacentral:rRNA from 1 species
AGCGAACGCUGGCGGCAGGCCUAACACAUGCAAGUCGAACGAAGUCUUCGGACUUAGUGGCGGACGGGUGAGUGACACGUGGGAACGUGCCUUUAGGUUCGGAAUAACUCAGGGAAACUUGUGCUAAUACCGAAUGUGCCCUUCGGGGGAAAGAUUUAUCGCCUUUAGAGCGGCCCGCGUCUGAUUAGCUAGUUGGUGAGGUAAAGGCUCACCAAGGCGACGAUCAGUAGCUGGUCUGAGAGGAUGAUCAGCCACAUCGGGACUGAGACACGGCCCAAACUCCUACGGGGGGCAGCAGUGGGGAAUCUUGCGCAAUGGGCGAAAGCCUGACGCAGCCAUGCCGCGUGAAUGAUGAAGGUCUUAGGAUUGUAAAAUUCUUUCACCGGGGACGAUAAUGACGGUACCCGGAGAAGAAGCCCCGGCUAACUUCGUGCCAGCCGCCGCGGUAA